AGCGAACGCUGGCGGCAGGCUUAACACAUGCAAGUCGAGCGGGCAUCCUUGUGGUGUCAGCGGCAGACGGGUGAGUAACGCGUGGGAACGUGCCCUUUGGUUCGGAAUAACUCAGGGGAACUUUAGCUAAUACCGGAUACGUGCGAGAGCAGAAAGGUUUAUCUGCCGAAGGAUCGGCCCGCGUCUGAUUAGCUAGUUGGUGGGGUUACGGCUCACCAAGGCGACGGUCAGUAGCUGGUCUGAGAGGAUGAUCAGCCACACUGGGACUGAGACACGGCCCAGACUCCUACGGGAGGCAGCAGUGGGGAAUAUUGGACAAUGGGGGCAACCCUGAUCCAGCCAUGCCGCGUGAGUGAUGACGGCCUUAGGGUUGUAAAGCUCUUUUCUCCGGGACGAUAAUGACGGUACCGGAGGAAUAAGCCCCGGCUAACUUCGUG
rnacentral:rRNA from 1 species